AGUGAACGCUGGCGGUAGGCCUAACACAUGCAAGUCGAACGGCAGCACAGUAAGAGCUUGCUCUUACGGGUGGCGAGUGGCGGACGGGUGAGGAAUACAUCGGAAUCUACUUUUUCGUGGGGGAUAACGUAGGGAAACUUACGCUAAUACCGCAUACGACCUACGGUUGAAAGCAGGGGAUCUUCGGACCUUGCGCGAUUGAAUGCGCCGAUGUCGGAUUAGCUAGUUGGCGGGGUAAAGGCCCACCAAGGCGACGAUCCGUAGCUGGUCUGAGAGGAUGAUCAGCCACACUGGAACUGAGACACGGUCCAGACUCCUAAGGGAGGCAGCAGUGGGGAAUAUUGGACAAUGGGCGCAAGCCUGAUCCAGCCAUACCGCGUGGGUGAAGAAGGCCUUCGGGUUGUAAAGACCUUUUGUUGGGAAAGAAAAGCAGCAGGUUAAUACCCCGCUGUUCUGACGGUACCCAAAGAAUAAGCACCGGCUAACUUCGUG
rnacentral:rRNA from 1 species